rnacentral:tRNA from 1 species
CUCCUUAUAGUUUAAUGGAAGAACAUAGGUCUUCUAAACCUAUAAUCAAGGUUCGAGUCCUUGUUGGGAGG